GAGCUCGGGCCCCACCCCCAGCCCGGGAAGGCCUCCCCGACGCCCGCCCCAAAUCCGCCCCCCUUCUCCUGGUUCUGACCUCUGCGACCAAGCGCAGCCCCGGCCCUCGGCCUUCUGGGCCCAAAGCCCUGGACUUAGAGACAGCAACAAGGGGCCCUAGAGGACCCCGACGGGCAAAGGGGCUAAUAACCCCCCAGAGUCAAACUCUGUUUGUGGUGAAAAAAACCCAGACUGGCCGGCGGAGGGAGCGCCCAGGACUUCGUCCUCCCGGGGGACGGCACCGCACCAUGCGGCCUGCGGCCUGCCUGAGGUCCACCGGGGAUGGGAACCUUCCCUUGCCGGGGGAGUUGGCCCGGUUUAGGCCCGAGGGGGCUGCCUGGGGCAGAAGAGGCCCUGUCUCGGUCCCUCGGGCCCAAGGCGGGGCUGGCAGCACGAAGAAGCCCGAGACCCCAUGAGCCAGGGAGGGGCCGGGGGGAGUCCUCCGCCAGAGCCCCCGUUCAGAGGUUCCUAAGGCAGGCUGACUCACAGUCAAGCAUCCUGCCCUCCUUUAAACGCAGGGAAGCAGAGGAGAGGGCGGAGAGCAGGGCGAGGGGCGGCCCUGGCCCAGCCCGGACCCUGGCCUUCCCAGGCCUGGCCCCCUGACCCAGCGUGCCUCAGGCUGCUGAUAACAGAGCCCCGCCUUCCUGACAGAGGGGACCCUUCCUGGGGACGCCCGGGCAUCCUCGCUCUGUUCUCUCGGGGGAGCCGCUCCUCCUCCCACACUCCUCAGCGCGCAGGUCCCGGGAUCGGCAGGGGACCCUUUCUCACCGCAAGCAAGAAGCCACGUGACUGCGGCUGGGGGGGAGGGGUCGGGGGCAGUGCGCUGUCCCCCAGCACGUGGAGAGGGGCACCAGGGAGGACCCCACGUGGGGCUCGAAGCCGCAGCGGCAGACUCCGGGUCCAGGGCUACCCGCACUGCGCCCCACUGCCCUUCCCAGGCCUGUCUUUGGUUUCUCCGGGUUUUUGCAGUUCUUGGGGACUACAACUCCUCGUUUCUCAUUUGUACUCAUGCCAGGGAUGGUGCCCUGCACACAGUAGGUGCUUAAGAGGCAUUUAGUGAAGGAAAGCCCUGCACUGCUCUGCAGGAACUGGGCUAGGAUGGGAGGCCCCUUCUGAAGGAGCCCUUUACCUCUCUGGCCAGCUGUUCCGCCUGAUCAUAGAUGUUCGUUUCCAUCAAUCCGAAAGAAUAAAUGCCUUUUACGUAA